rnacentral:rRNA from 1 species
AACGUAGGAGACAAACGUUAUCCGGAGUUACUGGGCGUAAAGGGCGUGUAGGUGGUAAUGUAAGUCUGGCGUGAAAUUUUUCGGCUUAACCGGGAAAGGUCGUCGGACACUGCAUGACUAGAGGACGGUAGAGGCGUGUGGAAUUCCGGGUGUAGUGGUGAAAUGCGUAGAGAUCCGGAGGAACACCAGUGGCGAAGGCGACACGCUGGGCCGUACCUGACACUGAACCGCGACAGCAUGGGGAGCAAACAGG